rnacentral:rRNA from 1 species
UACGUAGGGUGCGAGCGUUAAUCGGAUUUACUGGGCGUAAAGCGUGCGUAGGCGGCCCGUUAAGACAGGUGUGAAAUCCCUGGGCUCAACCUAGGAAUUGCGCUUGUGACUGGCGGGCUCGAGUACGGUAGAGGGGGGUGGAAUUCCUGGUGUAGCAGUGAAAUGCGUAGAGAUCAGGAGGAACACCGAUGGCGAAGGCAGCCCCCUGGGCCUGUACUGACGCUCAUGCACGAAAGCGUAGGGAGCAAACAGG